ensembl:snRNA U6 U6 spliceosomal RNA
AUGCUCCCUGCAGCAGUACAUAUACUAAAAUUGGAAUACUACAAAGAAGAUUACCAUGCCCCCUGUGGAAGGAUGACAUGCAAAUUCAUGAAAUGUUUCAUAUUGAA